rnacentral:rRNA from 1 species
GCGCGAACACUUUACAAUGCUGGCAACAGCGAUAAGGGAACCUCGAGUGCCAGGUUACAAAUCUGGCUGUCGAGAUGCCUAAAAAGCAUUUCAUAGCAAGGGCCGGGCAAGACCGGUGCCAGCCGCCGCGGUAACACCGGCGGCUCGAGUGGUAACCGUUCGUAUUGGGUCUAAAGGGUCUGUAGCCGGCCGGAUAAGUCUCUUGAGAAAUCUGGCAGCUUAACUGUCAGGCUUUCAGGAGAUACUGUCUGGCUCGAGGCCGGGAGAGGUGAGAGGUACUUCAGGGGUAGGGGUGAAAUCGUGUAAUCCUUGAAGGACCACCAGUGGCGAAGGCGUCUCACCAGAACGGACCUGACGGCAAGGGACGAAAGCUAGGGGCACGAACC